CAAACAUUGCUCAGCAAGAGUGCCAUAGGCCAUUGCUGUUGCUGUUCGUUUAGUUCGCCGCAUGCUUUCGUCUGACUCACGGUGUCGUGAAUUCGUGCCCUGUAUUUUGGGAUAAACACAGCUGGACCGCGGAGAUUUGGUUUGGUGAAUCUUCAACCGUGGACCCAAUGUGUAGGAGUUUAGGGUGUGUGUUUGCAAAGUAAAGAAGAUAUAGUGUGCUAUUAAUACACCAAGCUUUUGGCGUCUUUUUAUUUUUGUUUAUUUUCCGCGGUCGUCCUUACGUUUUCCUGGAAUCAUCGGCGCUUUCCUCAGCCCUUCAUCGUAACCGCCUCCCAUCUGUUACGCGUGUGUGCCUACCGUGUUUUUGCUACGGUAGUGUUCUGCUGCAGAAGGAUAGACAAAAAUGGAGAAUUGUAAUUGCAUCCAGAAUACAUUUCGAUAGAAACCGAAGGAGUCUGCAACGGAGCGUGUGCAGCAUGUUCGUACAGUUGAACAAUUGAUCGAAUCCUCAAUUCAACAUUACCGUCAUCUCGGGAUGAAUCCAAAAUUUUCGAAGAAUUUAAACACUAAAUUCGGUAAUGAGCUCGCCUGUGCGAUUUUCAUGAAGGUGAAGAAGUGAAACUCGAUUUUUAUGUUCAAAAUUGUGUGUGGCUAGAUGAAACCUGCCUCAAUUCCUUACCAGGUUUAGCAUUGUCUUUUCGUGUACAAAUAAAUAGUGUGUAAAGUGCGUAAAUCGCUUGGUUUCAGAGAAUGGUUCAUAAGGAUUGCUCAUUUGGGAUAAAAUGUGAACUGGAAUUAGGAUGUAAUCUUCAAUUCAACCCUCUGUACUCGUGCGCCGCACCAGUGCCAUUCACACGUAAAACGCAUCCAUCGAUUCCUUCGUACAUGAACAGUGCAUAAAAAAGUGUGCAGUAUUAAUCAAUUAAAUCUACCAGAGGAGUGUGUGUAUACAUCUAAGUGUGAAUGCAUGGUAGCGUUAUAAGGAAACAUAAAUGAACACAAGUGAAGUUUCGUGAGCCCAUAGCGCGGAGAGAAAUGGAGAAACUUUAUUAAAGUGAUUGAAACUUCUCCCCCGGAAAUCAUUUGAAAGUCGUGUCUCUGGUCUUUGUACCGAUUCUCGUGGAUCUGUGUAUACGAAAUAGCAACGGGCUCUGAGACGUUUUUCGGUGAGCGAGGAGCCGAUGUCUCGACUCUGGAUGAAAAGCCAACUAGAAUUUGGUUUAGUUUGAGAUGUGGCGAGUGCAUAAAUUAGCGAGAGCGAUACAUCUGCUACUGCGAAGAGAAAUAUGAUGGAGGAAGCAAAUAAUGUGGCGAAAUGUUUCCGUGGGUAGAUAGGGUACUAAGUGCAAUCAGAAAAGAAGCAGUUAAAAUAAUUAUUUACAUCAUCAGUGUCAAUCAGCUGUAAGUGGCGAAGACGAAGUCUUUCAUAUUCAUCGUAAUGGAUUAAGCGUGGAAACACACUAGACGGCUCUCCCGCGCGAUUCUCGCAAUGACAAGUCGCAGCAGGAGCUCGAUGAAAAACACAUUCAGCGGCUUUCGACGGCUUCACUAGCGGCCAUUAUCAUAUUUUUAUAGACGGAUGCAAGACGAGUCUAUGGUACAAGGUACAACUGUUUGGACAGUAAGCGGAUUAGAGGGAAGGUAUAUAAAGACAGAAUGGUGGAAAACGGAAGAGGGAUGUUUACCUGAGCGAGAGGGAGAAAGAAGUUGAUCGCAAACGUCUGAAAUAUUGCAUUUCUCGAUAAUUUGGGUAGUAUUCGAGAAUCCGCAGCUACAUGACCGCAGAGUGAUUUUCACGUAUUGGCUCACCGAUAGUACAUUAACUAUUACCUUGCUUCAUGUGCACCGCAUAAACACUAAUACUAUCACAAAACCGUUGCGGCGCAUCAUCUCCAUCGAGCCACCGCAGAGAAUGAGGAACCUUACAACAGUGACUUUAGAACCGGCCGUACCCGCUCCGCCUUGUGUGUUUUAUCUCAUUCACAUUCCAUUAUCGAGGCCCCGCGGCGGUUUGUCAUUGCAAAAUCCGCGCGGGGAAGCCGUCCAGUGUGUUCUUACGCUAACACGCACGCCGACUAGCACGGACGACUUAUUUAGGAAGAAUGCCGUAUGUCGGACCCAAUGGCACUAUAUAAUGAAGACGAUGCUGUGAGCUAACACCCUGAAUUCUUAUGUUGUAACGGAGAACUUGCAGUUCGACAACUGUGCAGCGAAAAAUACAAUUCUGAGUUCGACCACGCGUAGUACAAGGUGUCAAACCCGGAGAACAGCAUCGGAAGAAUGCACCCCGUGCAGGCCCGUGGAUGAUGUAGUAUAGUAGUAAUACAGUCACAGUUGUGGAUCGUUACAGAACCAACGAGGCGGUUAUCCAUAUAUCAAUCCAUAGACGUACCGUUGAACGUGGGAAUUCAACAGAUUUAUUUCAAAAAACUAAUAAAACUUUAAUUAAAGAAACCAUGAGCAGUGUGUCAGUUAAGUUUGAGACAUUGCGUCCUACGUUUCGGUUGAAACCUUUUGAAUAGCUCUGAUAUCGUCGGAAAAAAGUAUUUUUCAUUAUGUUUUAAUUUUUGGGAAAAGUGAAAAGCUGCCAAUUCGGGUGAAUACGGCAUGAUGAUAUACAGCACAAACGAGUUUUCGAGACACAAUUUGACGCACGAGCAGUGACUUGUGACCCGGCACAUUGUCGUGUAGAAAAGUCCAAUUUCAUGGGUCGAAUUCAGCGCAUCCUAGCCAUCAAAUACUUCAACAGCUGACGAAUAAUUUUCAUGUAUGUUUCCCUUAAAAUUCAUUAAAAAAAAUCUUCAGAAUGACAUAGACAGCAUAGACAGGAGUCCAAUGUAUGAUGAAUGAUGAAUUCGAGACAGUAUAAACAUAAUUAUGAAUAGAAAUGAGAUGAUGGCCUUCCCCAACUACAAGAAGGCGACCGAGGGGUUUGUGCGUUGUACCGUGUUAUGACGAAAAUCAGCGGAGUGUUCGUCAUAGCACGACUUCAAUUUAUGUUCUAUUCAUUGAUACAUGAACCGACGCGGGACUUACCGUGUUAAUAAGAAAGAGGCAGCGGCUUCAUCCCGGAACAACAUUCCGUCAACAAUGGGAAAACUUCACAAUGUAACGAUACGCGAUACGGUCGUACAUGUUCUCAUUUUUUAAGGAUUUCGCUUAUGUUCGGAGAACCGAAGCUAAAAUUCAAUUAAUUAACGUUGUCUAAUUUGUAAAUUUGUAAUCUAAAUAAAUGGUCCUGAGUUAACUAG